rnacentral:rRNA from 1 species
AUGACCGAGCACACAAAUCGUGCAAAAUACAGACUUCCAAGACAAAAAGGAGAGAAAGAGAUAAUAAAGGGAGAAGAAAUAAGAGGGCAGGACCGUCUUUUCCGUCCCCCUUCUUCCUUGCGAGCACAGGGUUUUCUUCCGCCGCUCCCCCCAAUCCAUCCAUCGAUUCCCAUCCGCCGCCGCCGCCGUCUUCCAGCCCCCACCCCCACCUCCAGUCUAGACCCCGCGCGCCGCGCCGAUGGGGCGCAAGAAAAACGUCGCCAUCGACGACGACGAGUACUCCCUGCCGCAGGACGACGAGGCCGCCCCCCCGCCGCCCCCCCGCCGCCCCCCGCCGCCGCCGCGGAGAAGGAGAAGCCGCCGCCCAAGAAGGGCGGCAAGAAGGGCGGCAAGUCCGCCGCGCACGACGACGACGACGACUACGAGCCCGCCCCGCCUCCCCCGCCGGCGGGCGAGGAGGACGACGAGCCGAUCAACGUCGUCUUCACCGGCAAGAAGAAGAAGAAGAAGGGUGGCGCGGGCGGGGGCGGGAUGAGCGCCUUCGACGCCCUCGCGGCCGCCGAGGACCAGGAUGAGGACGAGGCCCCUGCCUCCACCACCGCAUCCGAGCUCGAGGCCGGUAGGUCUGAGGCCAGCGGCGAUCUCGACGACGUCGACCUCGAUUUCGACUUCAGCAAGUCCAAGAAGAAAAAGAAGAAGGGCAAGGGAGCUCGCCUGUCCGCCGAGGAGGACGAGGAGGCGGCUGCUGCUGCUGCGGCGGCGCCCCCAGCUGCUGCCGAGGAAGAGGAGGAGCAGGAGGCUGCGGCCAUGGCUGCCAAGAAGCCACAGAAGAAGAAGAAAAAGAAGGGUGGGUUUACUGUGGACGAUGAGGACAUCGACAAGCUCCUGGCCGAGAUGGAGGAUCCUCCCCAACCAGCAAAGGAGGCUGAGCCGGAGGAGGCUAAAGGUGGGGAUUCUCUGGCUGCCCCAGAUGCCGAUGAUGCCGGCGGAAAGAAAUCGAAGAAGAAGAAAAAGAAGGGAGGGUUUACUGUCGACGAUGAGGACAUUGACAAGCUCCUUGCAGAGAUUGAGGACCGGCCUGCUGCCGCUGAGGAGCCUGAGCCCAAGUCAGCCAAGGCAGAGGAUACUGUGGCUGCUGCUCCUGCUGCGACCAGUGUGGAUGAUGCUGAAGGGAAGAAAUCAAAGAAGAAAAAGAAGAAGAGCGGAAGGACAGCACAGGAAGAGGAGGAUCUGGACAAGCUUCUUGCUGAGCUCGGUGAAGGACCGGCACCGGCACCGGAGAAGGAGAAACCAUCCCAGGCAGCGCCUUCCGCUCCAGCAGUGAAGGAGGACGCUGAAACUGCGGAGGAUGGUAAUGCAGAGCAGAAGGCCGGGGAAGGAGAGGUAGAGUCCGCUGCAGCCAAGAAGAAAAAGAAGAAGAAAGAAAAAGAGAAGGAGAAGAAGGCAGCAGCAAAGGGGACAGAGGCUAAGAAGGAGGAGGAAAAGGAGCCAGAGGCGCCUAAAGGCAAGGUUGACAUGAAGAAGCUCCCAAAGCAUGUCCGGGAGAUGCAGGAGGCUCUUUUGAAGAGGCAGGAAGCCGAGGAGCGGAGGAAGAAAGAGGAGGAAGAACGUUUGAGGAAGGAGGAAGAGGAGCGUUUGAGGAAAGAGGAGGAGGAGAAGAAGGCAGAGGAAGCAAAGAGGAGGAAGAAGGAGAGGGAAAAGGAGAAGCUGCUCAAGAAGAAGCAGGAAGGUAAGCUUUUAACAGGGAAGCAGAAGGAGGAGGCCAAGCGGUUAGAAGCCAUGAGGAGACAAUUCCUUGGUGAGAGUGAAGUUCCAGUAGCUGAUGGGGCUGCCCCUGAGAUUAAGAAGAGGCCAAAGUAUGAUAGCAAGAAGAAAAAAGUUCAAACAAAGGCUUCAGAGGCCCAGAAGGUAGCUGAAGAACAACAGCAAGAGGUAAAUGAAGCCAACAUUGACGAGGAAGAGUAUGUCAUAGUGGACCAGGAAUCUCAGUCUCAGGUGGCAGAAUCUGAGACAAAAACAGAACCCGACCAAGAGGUGGAAGAGGCAAAACAAGAAGAGGAGGAAGAUGAAGAUUACUGGGAUGCAAAGAGCUGGGAUGAUAUCGAUGUGGGUUUGUCGAAGACAAGUGCUUUCGAGGAGGAAGAGGAGAAGGAGGACAAGCCUGUUGCCACGAAGCAGGAAAUUUCUAAACCGCAACCUGUAGUGCCUGCUGUAAAAAAUGUUGCUCCGCCUGUUGACAACUCUAAAAAGAGUGAAACUGAAAAUGUGCGUGCCAACAAUGGAGUUGCUAAAAAGAAAGGGAAGAAAGGAUCUUCUAAAGAUGAUGAUGCUGACAAUGCUAGCGACCUCCGUUCACCAAUCUGUUGCAUCCUUGGUCAUGUUGAUACUGGAAAGACAAAGCUGCUGGACUGUAUUAGACGAACUAAUGUACAAGAAGGAGAAGCUGGCGGUAUUACUCAACAGAUUGGAGCUACAUACUUCCCAACUGAGAAUAUUAGAGAGAGAACAAGGGAAUUGAAGGCUGAUGCUACUCUCAAGGUUCCAGGCCUGCUUGUUAUUGAUACUCCUGGCCAUGAGUCCUUCAGUAAUCUGCGUUCUAGAGGUUCAAGUUUGUGCGACAUUGCUAUUUUGGUUGUCGACAUUAUGCAUGGGCUUGAACCCCAGACAAUCGAAUCCCUGAAUCUCUUGAAAAGUCGAGAUGCAGUAUUUAUCGUUGCUUUGAACAAGGUACUAUUCUUGGAUUUUUGUCCCUUUGACUUUCGGCUUCCUUACUGUUCUGCUAUUUACUUGUUUGUUUCUUAUCACUGUAUGAAGGUUGAUCGUCUUUAUGGUUGGAAGACCUGCCCCAAUGCUCCUAUCGGGAAAGCCUUGAGACAACAAAAUGAUGAUGUCAAGUUGGAGUUCAAUACGAGGCUUACUGAUAUUGUGACACAAUUCAAGAUGCAAGGUGUGAAUACUGCUUUGUACUACAAGAACAAAGAGAUGGAAGAUACAUUUAACAUUGUGCCUACCAGUGCAGUAAGUGGUGAAGGCAUUCCUGAUCUGCUUCUACUAUUGGUGCAAUGGGCACAAAAGACGAUGGAAGAAAAGCUUACUUUUGUUGAUGAAGUCCAGUGUACUGUCCUGGAAGUCAAGGUCAUCGAAGGUCAUGGCACUACAGUUGAUGUUGUGCUGGUCAAUGGUAUGCUCCAUGAAGGAGAUCAAAUAGUCGUGUGUGGCAUGCAGGGACCCAUUGUGACAACCAUCAGAGCUUUGUUAACACCACACCCGAUGAAGGAGCUUCGAGUUAAGGGCACCUACCUUCACCAUAAGAAGAUCAGAGCUGCACAAGGAAUUAAAAUAUCAGCUCAGGGUCUCGAACAUGCAAUUGCUGGGACUGCUCUAUAUGCUGUACGACCUGAUGCAGAUAUAGAGGACCUGAAGGAUGCUGUAAUGGAAGAGAUGUCAAGGGUUAGGAACCGGAUUGAUAAGAGUGGCGAGGGUGUCUAUGUGCAAGCAUCUACGCUUGGGUCAUUGGAAGCUCUGACUGAGUUCUUGAAGAGCCCUGCUGUGAAUAUCCCCUUCUGUGAUUUCAGCAUAGGCCCAGUGCACAAGAAAGAUGUUAUGAAGGCCAGCGUUAUGCUUGAGAGGAAGAAGGAAUAUGCAACUAUCUUGGCGUUUGAUGUCAAAGUGAUGCCUGAUGCCCGUGAUCUUGCAGAAGAGUCUGGUGUGAAGAUCUUCGUGGCAGAUAUAAUAUACCACCUUUUUGACCAAUUUACAGCGUACAUUAAGAACAUAAGGGAAGAGAAGAAGAAGGACAGCGCCGAAGAAGCUGUUUUCCCCUGUGUUCUUAAGAUCAUGCCGAACUGUGUCUUCAACAAGAAGGAUCCAAUCGUUUUGGGUGUCGAUAUCCUCGAAGGAAUAGCAAAGGUGGGAACGCCUCUGUGCAUACCCUCGAAAGAAUUUAUUGAUAUUGGGAAGAUUGCCUCCAUUGAAAUUAAUCACAAGCAAGUUGAUACAGCCACAAAAGGGCAAAAGGUGGCUAUAAAGAUCAUUGGGAGCAACUCUGAUGAGCAGCAGAAGAGCUUUGGCAGGCACUUUGAGAUGGAAGACGAGCUCGUCAGCCACAUCACAAGGCGGUCCAUCGACCUUCUCAAAGAAAACUACAGGGAUGACUUGACGAUGGACGACUGGAAACUUGUGAUGAAGCUGAAGAAGAUACUGAGUAUCCCAUGA